rnacentral:rRNA from 1 species
GGGUGAGUAACGCGUAAGUAAUCUACCCUGGUAUCUGGGAUAACCCACCGAAAGGUGUGCUAAUACCGGAUACGCUGAGCAAUCAGGAAAGGUGGCCUCUUCAUGAAAGCUACUGUACCAGGAGGAGCUUGCGUACCAUUAGCUAGUUGGUAGGGUAAUGGCCUACCAAGGCGACGAUGGUUAGCGGGUCUGAGAGGAUGAUCCGCCACACUGGAACUGGAACACGGACCAGACUCCUACGGGAGGCAGCAGUGAGGAAUAUUGCGCAAUGGGGGAAACCCUGACGCAGCGACGCCGCGUGGAUGAUGAAGGCCUUCGGGUCGUAAAAUCCUGUCAGGUGGAAAGAAAUGUAGUAUGCCUAAUACGUGUACUAUUUGACGGUACCACCAAAGGAAGCACCGGCUAACUCCGUGCCAGCAGCCGCGGUAAUACGGAGGGUGCAAGCGUUGUUCGGAAUUACUGGGCGUAAAGCGCGCGUAGGCGGCUGUUUAAGUCAGAUGUGAAAGUCCACGGCUCAACCGUGGAAGUGCAUUUGAAACUGGAUGGCUUGAGUACUGGAGGGGGUGGUGGAAUUCCCGGUGUAGAGGUGAAAUUCGUAGAUAUCGGGAGGAAUACCGGUGGCGAAGGCGACCACCUGGCCAGAUACUGACGCUGAGGUGCGAAA